GACGAACGCUGGCGGCGUGCUUAACACAUGCAAGUCGAACGGAAAGGCCCUGCUUUUGUGGGGUGCUCGAGUGGCGAACGGGUGAGUAACACGUGAGUAACCUUCCCUUUACUUUGGGAUAACUUCAGGAAACUGGGGCUAAUACCUGCUAGGAGCUCCUGCUGCAUGGUGGGGGUUGGAAAGUUUCGGCGGUUGGGGAUGGACUCGCGGCUUAUCAGCUUGUUGGUGGGGUAGUGGCUUACCAAGGCUUUGACGGGUAGCCGGCCUGAGAGGGUGACCGGCCACAUUGGGACUGAGAUACGGCCCAGACUCCUACGGGAGGCAGCAGUGGGGAAUAUUGCACAAUGGGCGGAAGCCUGAUGCAGCAACGCCGCGUGCGGGAUGAAGGCCUUCGGGUUGUAAACCGCUUUCGCCUGUGACGAAGCGUGAGUGACGGUAAUGGGUAAAGAAGCACCGGCUAACUACGUG
rnacentral:rRNA from 1 species